ensembl:lncRNA
CAAAAGAAUGAAGGGAAGUGGUUAAGAUGUGAGAAGACUGUGGCAAAACAGCCUUAGGAGAGAGAACGCAUCUGUGAGGAGUUGUGACAACCCCAAACCCCAUCUAGACGCUGGAGCAGAGGAACAAACGUGCUGAUGAUAAAUGAAAUUUGUUUGAAAUUACAAAGAAAGAGGCGCAUCAAGCGUCAUCAAGGGGAUUCCACAUCAGCCACAGGUUUCACUGACUAUGGAGAAAGGCUUUGGAUGUUGAAUGUUGAAAUGAUCUUAACUCACUGGUUUGCCAUCCCAGCCAUCAACGGUGACACUAAGCGUUCCAAUAAAGUGCAACCUUGAUACACUGAUGCCCAGGAAGCAUUAAAGUUUUCUCAGGUUGAAUCUGGCUCAUAAACAUCCGUGACAAGCUUUCCGCUGAAGUGAUGCACUCAAGAGGUCAAUGGCAUCUUUUUAUUGCUUUGUAAGUUUAAUGUUUGCAUUAUAACGCUGGAAAUAUCUAAUAAAAUCUGGGAACAGACAUAGUAAUGUCCCUCU